rnacentral:siRNA from 1 species
GCGAAAUGCGAUACUUGGUGUGAA